AGCGAACGUUAGCGGCAGGCCUAACACAUGCAAGUCGCACGAGAAUUAGGGCUUCGGCCCUAUAGUAAAGUGGCGGACGGGUGAGUAACACGUGGAUAAUCUGCCCUUCGGUGGGGGACAACAGUCCGAAAGGAUUGCUAAUACCGCAUUCGUCGGCGAGGUCUUCGGACCUUGCCGGGAAAGAUGGCCUCUCCAUGGAAGCUAUCGCUGAAGGAUGAGUCCGCGUCCCAUCAGCUAGUUGGCGGGGUAAUGGCCCACCAAGGCGAAGACGGGUAGUUGGUCUGGGAGGAUGAUCACCCACACUGGAACUGAGACACGGUCCAGACUCCUGCGGGAGGCAGCAGUGGGGAAAAUUGGGCAAUGGGCGCAAGCCUGACCCAGCCAUGCCGCGUGAGUGAUGAAGGCCUUCGGGUCGUAAAGCUCUGUGGAGAGGGAAGAACAACGCUCUGGCUAACAUCCAGGGCGCCUGACGGUACCUCUUUAGCAAGCACCGGCUAACUUCGUGCCAGCCGCCGCCGUAACAC
rnacentral:rRNA from 1 species